rnacentral:rRNA from 1 species
CCCUUAGAUGUCCUGGGCUGCACGCGCGCUGCACUGAUGUGUCCAGUAAGCACCUAACCUCUUCCGAAGGGAACGGGUAACCUUAGCAAAGCACAUCGUGAUGGGGAUAGAUUAUUGCAAUUAUUAGUCUUGAACGAGGAAUUCCUAGUAAGCACAAGUCAUCAGCUUGUGUUGAUUACGUCCCUGCCCUUUGUACACACCGCCCGUCGCUCCUACCGAUUGAAUGGUUUAGUGAGAUCUUCGGAUUGGCGCCACUGCGGCUCAGCAAUGGGCUCGGUGGAUGCCGAAAAGUUGAUCAAACUUGAUCAUUUAGAGGAAGUAAAAGUCGUAACA